UGGGACGUCGCCAAGAGGUAAGGCACCUGACUUUGAUUCAGGCAUACGCAGGUUCGAUCCCUGCCGUCCCAUCCA
rnacentral:tRNA from 1 species